UAAUUUAAAAUGGUGAAAUUUUGUUGAUUUUUGCGUUCAGUGUUCUGAGUGAUCAUCGAGCUGUGAUGGGUUAGUGUUGGAUUUGAUUCAAUUGAGGAAAAUGUGGUGGAGACAAUAAUUCCCAAAUCCUCGAGUUUUAUGAAUGCAUUCCAAUUGAUAGCCAUGUCAAAUGAUCUCGAUUUGUCAGGAUGAGAAAUAGAAGACAACAAGAAUUGGACCCAAGCAUACCGUUACUGAAACCAUGAAGAAAAUAGAAGCGGCUACAACGGAUGCGAGUAUUCUGUAGCAAGAACAAACAACUUCAGGAUGUAAAUGCAUGCAAAAAUUCCAAUGAAAACGUAAAUCACCAUAUCCAGGUAAAUCCGAAUUGUAGAUCAGACUUAUAUUACAAUUUGCUUUCUUUGUGAAAUUUUAUUGUAAUUUACACUAAAGUCUCUGGCUUUUGAAAUUCUAUAUGAAAUUGUGAAUGUUAUUCGGAAUCAAGUCCGGCCAAGUUCUUUACUAAAUAGUGUGAAAAUAUGCAUGAUGAAACUAAAUUACUUUUGUAUCAUCUAUUUUUACCUGUUAGCAUAACAGGAUUUAAAAUAUAGAAACAUACUGCUUAUAGGAUAUUAAGGUUGAAGUCAUUUAGUUCCAAAGAUGCCAUAACUA